rnacentral:rRNA from 1 species
UGCCAGACUCCUACGGGAGGCAGCAGUGGGGGAUAUUGCACAAUGGGGGAAACCCUGAUGCAGCGACGCCGCGUGGGCGAAGAAAUAUUUCGGUAUGUAAAGCCCUGUCAGCAGGGAAGAAAAUGACGGUACCUGAAGAAGAAGCCCCGGCUAACUACGUGCCAGCAGCCGCGGUAAUACGUAGGGGGCAAGCGUUAUCCGGAUUUACUGGGUGUAAAGGGGGCGCAGACGGCGACGCAAGCCAGGAGCGAAAGCCCGGGGCCCAACCCCGGGACUGCUCUUGGAACUGCGUGGCUAGAGUGCAGGAGGGGCAGGCGGAAUUCCUGGUGUAGCGGUGAAAUGCGUAGAUAUCAGGAGGAACACCGGUGGCGAAGGCGGCCUGCUGGACUGCAACUGACGUUGAGGCCCGAAAGCGUGGGGAGCAAACAGGAUUAGAUACCCUAGUAC